UGUCCCAUGGUGUAAUGGUUAGCACAACAGUUUUUGGUACUGUUUGUCGAGGUUCGAGUCCCCGUGGGACAA
rnacentral:tRNA from 1 species